AGUGAACGCUGGCGGUAGGCCUAACACAUGCAAGUCGAACGGCAGCACAGUAAGAGCUUGCUCUUACGGGUGGCGAGUGGCGGACGGGUGAGGAAUACAUCGGGAUCUACUUUUUCGUGGGGGAUAACGUAGGGAAACUUACGCUAAUACCGCAUACGACCUACGGGUGAAAGCAGGGGAUCUUCGGACCUUGCGCGAUUGAAUGAGCCGAUGGCGGAUUAGCUAGUUGGCGGGGUAUAGGCCCACCAAGGCGAGGAUCCGUAGCUGGUCUGAGAGGAUGGUCAGCCACACUGGGAGUGAGACACGGUCCAGACUCCUAGGGGAGGCAGCAGUGGGGAAUAUUGGACAAUGGGCGCAAGCCUGAUCCAGCCAUACCGCGUGGGUGAAGAAGGCCUUCGGGUUGUAAAGCCCUUUUGUUGGGAAGGAAAAGCAGCAGGUUAAUACCGCGCUGUUCUGACGGUACCCAAAGAAUAAGCACCGGCUAACUUCGUG
rnacentral:rRNA from 1 species